ACAAUUGCUCAUUGCCCUCCAAAACGGCUACACUUUAAAAAUGCCAGCACUACUGACAGAGCAGCAGGUCUGACUUGAGGCUGAAGAUGAAAAAUAGCCUCCCACCUGAAUUCUGUGUUUGCAAAGUUUGCCAAAUAGCAGAGGCAAAUAGUUUUGAUUGCCAGCAAAGCUACUUUGUUAAAUUUCUCCUCUAGUUCAUUUUGGUCACUGGAGUCCCAUAAGCCAUUCCCCUGAUGCACUUCAUGUGCACAGAGCUGGUUUGAUCUGCCAGAUCCUAACUCGGCUCAGUUUGAAGAGUGGUGAGCCAGUUGAGGCUGACCUGCUUUGGAUCAUUUCCAUCCCUCCCUGCUAUGAAAGUGUGAUCUGCAGGGAUGCUUUAGCAGCCGCUACCUCCCAUUGAGCUUGAAAUGGUUAAGAGUCAGGCUUUGCUAAUAGCAAGCUUCAAUUUGUGGACCAGGCUUUUGCAGGAGUUCAGGGCAGCAUGUACAGACUUUUUCCACUGUUAGGAUAAGAAGUUGUUCUUUUUCUCCAUAAAACUGCAAAAAAUUCCCCAUUUUCUACUCUGAGAAAAUUCAUUAGAGAUCUGCAAGAAGAUCUCAAAAGGAAGAUUUUACUUGCUCUGGCUGUUUGAGCUUGUUAGGCUUGACACUCAACAGGAAGCUGAGGAAUCUUCAGGAAGUUCCUAUACAUUUACCAUAGGUACACACAUUUUUUUCUCAAAUGAGAGACAGAGGCCAGGCAGAGAAGCUAAAGUAGCACCUGUGUUUGGACAGCUGAAUCCAGCCCCACAGUAACUCAAAAAUGUCAAUCACCAGUAAGAACAGAUGAUCCCACAGGAAAAGAAUAGCUUAAAGCAUUGUAAUCUCCAGCCUUCACUUCAGCAGAAGAUGUCAGCUCCCUUGAUAUAAGGCAAUCCAGGGAUUGUUAAAAUAAACCUCACAAUGC